UUUCCUUUUCUGAUCCCUUUAAUGGUUUUUAUGUUGUAACAGUUGACCAACUCAUGAAAGAGUAUGUAGAUCUCUUUGAAUUUAACCUAUCAUCUGGAGCCAAGAUUAUAACACAUCAUUUUAUUCCAACUAGGGAUGCUUGUCUAAUCAAGGUUUUUAUUCAUCUUCAUUUAUCCAAAGAGAUCAAGAUUUUAUAUACAAACAUCAAAGAGAUGUUGAAAAAUGGAGUUAUUCAAAAGUCACGCAAUCCUUAGGCAUAUAAACCUCACGUGACAAAGUCUAAUGGGAGUAUUGAUUUUUACAUUGAUUAUUGUCCAUUAAACAAAAUGUGUACCCUUUUCCUCACACUAUUGAUCUCUUGGAUCAUCUAAGGCACAAUUUAAUCUAUGCAGCAAAAGGGGCUCAUAUUUAUAAUUCAAGGUAACUAUAGAGUUGUGUUAGGACUUUAUAGUCAAGUUUCGUGUUUGGGAAUUUCUUCUUUUUUCCAGCAUUAUAGAAAAAAUAAAUAAAUUCCCAAACACGGAACUCAAAGAGAUAAAGACUAACUGAUGCCAUCCCUAUAAGCCCCUCCUACCUCAGUAUAUAACAAGCUUACUAGCAGCAAAAAGGUUGUUGUUUUAGAUGCUCAUCAUGUUUGUAAUGCUUGCCAUAGGCAUGGACGUAGGAGGAAUCUCACCUAGAGGAUGGCGCUGGUAUGGAUCGUAAGUUUCCUCUUGGGGAUUAUCUAGCAAUUUUGAAUGUAUAAAUAUGAAGAACAAGUUGAGGGAACACACUCACCAUUUCCUUUUUACAGCAAAAAUCCAAUAUGAAAUGCCACCUUUGGAAACACUUAUUCGCCAUUGAUAAAUCAAAGCUCUAUUUUGUCAGUAGAAAGAGUUUACUGUAUCCUAGGAAAAUGCUGGUAAAAGCAAACGAAACGAUCGAUGAGAGGAAUCACUACCACGCAGAUAUACCAAUUGAUGUUAAUUAUGCCCACGUGGCAGUACUUUCCAUACAUGUACCAUUCUUAAUGGGUUGUGGCUCACCCAUUAACUUGAUCCAACCGUUGGCAGCUGUCGGAUCGAGUCAGGUUCUCUACGAGAACGUGGCUGACAAUUGCCAAGUUCUCCAAAACCUAGCUGUCAGCUGUCAGAUUCUGGAGAACCAGGCUACCAGCUGCCAAUUCUGGAGAACCCUCUCAUCCUUGAAUAACAUUCUUUCACAUGUUCGUUAACGGUCUCGCCACAGCCCGUUAAGGCCGUUCCCGGGCACGGCCUUGCUCGUUCCCUCCAGAACGCACUUGCUGGGCUAACACCCAGCUUGCCCGUUCUGGGCAGGAACGUGCUCGCCCUACCCAGGAACUGCCUCAUAUAUAGUUGAAAUACAUAGAAAGUUCUUCCGUGUCUCUUCACAGGCUGUGGCUCACCCGUUAACUUGAUCUAGCCGUUGGCAGCCGUCGGAUCGAGUCAAGUUCUCUACGAGAAUUUUACUGUUGUCAGCCACAUUCUGGAGAACGUGGCUGACAGCUACCAGGUUCUGGAGAACGUGGCUGAUAGCUACCAAGUUCUAGAGAAUGUGGCUGACAGCUACCAUGUUCUGGAGAACCCAACUGCCAGCCGCCAGGUUCUAGAGAACCCUCUCCUCCUCCAAUAACGUUAUUCCAUGUGUCCAUUAACAGUCUUGCCACAGCCCAUUAAGGCCGUUCCCGGGCAUAGCCUCGCUCGUUCCCUCCAGAACGCGCUCGCCGGGCUAACGCCCGGCUCGCCCGUUCUGGGCGGGAACAUGCUCACCCUACCCGGGAACUGCCUCUUCGCUGCUAACAAUUGAAGCCUCUAGAACAGGCCGUGGACGAUCUAGAGCAGCGUGCAUUGUCUCUCAACGACGACUACGUGCAACUCCUUGCAUAGAAAAGAGAUUUGCGUCAUGGCGCCAGGCUCCACACGCUCAUCCUUCACCACCAAUCCAACAGGUACCUCGCAAAUCUUCUCAUCCAGCUCUAAGGAAGGUGCGAGCGCGGGGAUCGAGCAAGGCAGGUGUUUAUCAGCCAUCCAUGAGCCUAACAGAUUCUCCUGGAACUUGAUGCUUGGCGCUUAUGCCCAAAAUGCGGAUCUUGAGGAAGCAAAAGAGCUGUUUGCCACAAAGAGAUAUUGUUGCAUGGGUCUCUAUUCUCACAGCUCAUGAAAACCGUGGAAACUUGGAGGAGUGCCAAACAUUGUUUGAUCAGGUUCUAGAAUGGGAUGUAGUUUGCUGGAACUCGCUACUUCCAGCAUAUGCCCAUAACGGGCAUAUGGAUCAAGCAAGCCAGAUCUUUGAUGGAAUGCUUAGUUUCUUGGACUGUUAUGUAUAAUGGGUAUUCCAGAAAAGGUUUGUUAACGACGCGCUAAAUUUGUUCAUGAGAAUCCCCGAAACCAACGAGCUCGGAUGAACUGUUCUUGUCACCGCAUAUGCCCAGAUUGGGCAUAUUGAAAAAGCCAAGGAGGUUUUCAGUAAAAUGCACACCGCGACUUAAGCUCGUGGAACGCAAUGCUAGCAGCAACGUCCAGUUUGAAAGAAGCAAGGUCUCUGUUUGAUGGCAUGCCACAGAGGAACGUUGCAUCGUGGUCGACAAUGAUCACCGCACUGGCCGAGAGAAACCAGCUCCAAGAAGCUCGCAUUCUCUCCAUCGAGCUCCUUAUCACGAUGACGUGGUGUGGACUGCCAUGAUCUUGGCCUACUCCAACCACGGCCACCUCGAAGAAGCCAGGAAGAUGUUUGCACGGAUGCCACAACACGUGAUGUUUUCUGGCAGCAUGGCAAUGGAGGGCGAGGCGAGAAACGAGAUAAGUUUCCAGGGGAUUUUCCUGACUUGCAAUCACGGUGGGAAGCUCCGUGUGGCACUCGACUACUUUCGAUCUAUGGUGGCGGAGUACAGUAUUUCUCCAAAUGUGAUUCACUUCCAGGCGAUGGCAGAUGUGCUGGGACGAGCCGGGCUGGUUGCCAAGGCCGAAGGUCUGCUGCUGGUGAUGCCCUUCCAGCCGCAUUUCCUCGCGUGGAAGAGCUUGAUCAGCGCUUGCAAAGUUCAUGGUAACGGCAAGAACAUCAAUGUUGCAGCUCGUGCCGCAGAGAAACUCUUGGAGAUGAAACCAGGGGACUCUGGCGCUUUACGUGCUCAUGUCAGCUGCGUCACAUGAGUCAACAAGUACAACAUUUAAUUAAUAGAAUAACAGAAAAUAAUUAUAAGUAAAUUAAAUAAGAAAAACAAAUCUAAUGAAUAAAAUCUUGAUAAUUAUUGAUAUCACUUCCAUUAAUUGGUGCAGAUUGCUCUAGAAUGCCCAAGAGAUUGUCAAGAGCCUGCCAGUGAGAAAAGACAAACCACUUUGAUUAAUGUUGCGGGUGACUGGAAGCGGCCGUACUGAGUCUGUGGUCGAAACGGAAGCCAAGGUAUUACGUUCAUGUUUAUAUUAGCAUGGAAGUUCUAUGGAACUUUGAAUCAAACUCUUGUAAAGUUUUGGCAAAGCUAGAAGAGGAAUGCUAGAGUGACUUUGAAGAUAAGGAUUUGAAGGAUUGGAGAAGCAUUAUAGGAAAAAGAAGAAUUGGCAAACACGGAACCACUUUUACUGGACUAACUUUCAAAUAUUCUUCCAGAGAUAAGAAAUAAGCGAAGCCAUCCCAAGACAACUCCCCAGCCACCAUCUAAAUUAUGCUGCCUCGAGCUAUAAAUACGAGCCCCUCCUGCCUCACAGAUCAAACCAUUUCUCUCUAAUAUACAAUCCUACUUAGUCUGAGCAGCAAAUCAUGGAGAACAAGGCUUUCUUGGUGAUAUUUUUGGCGCUUGCCAUGUUUGUGAUGGUGCUGGCCAUGGGCGUGGACGUGGGAGGAAUCGCAAAGGCUGCUGCCCAGCGCUGCCAGUCGGGGUGGUAUUGGUAUGACAACAGUUGCCACCGUUGCCAGAGGGGUUGGGUCUGGUGCAACAAUCGCUGCUGGCACAACUGAAACCUCCCGUUUCAAGGGGUAAACCCCAGCAUCGUUCCUCUGAAUUCAUCAUUCUGCAGUGCCAGGGUCUGGAAAGAAGAAUAGUUUUCUGUAUGGCAUUGCAUGGGAUCCAACAAUAAUAUAUAAACUGUCCAGGCCUUGAUAAAAAAUGUCUGUUCUCUCUAUUUCUCAUCUGGAUUCACAGUUUCAUUUCAAGAGUUUACUUCAUUUUGACUCCAGGCCUGCCGACUGAGUUUUUCUUGCGUGGCAGUUUUACUUCCUUCUUCGUGUUGCAAACUUCGUCUAUGCCCCACCCAGCAUUAUAGAAAAGAGAAGGAAUUGACAAACACGGAACAACUAACUUUUAAAUAUUCUAGAUGCCUUCCCAAGAGCAUUCUAGCGUCUUGAGCUAUAAAUAUGAUGGGCAUCACCACCUCUCUCCAGUAUACUAGAGAUUGUUUCUCUUAGUUUUUGCAGCAAGUCAUGAAGGACAUGGGGCCAUGGUUUGUUGUGAUGAUGCUGGCCAUGGGAGUGGAUGUGGGGAGAAAUCGCAACGGUAUGGCUGAUGCCCUCGAUAAUGGCGCUGAUAUGUCAUAACCAGAGAGCUAUAAGCUCCUCUGUGUGGUGGUUUCGGAGAUCUUUUGCAAAUUUUUGGCUAUAACUCACAGUGUGGUCUCGAGUUGCAUGACCGAAAUGAAAGAUAAUGAAUAAGAACGAUUCAGGGAUUGCUAGUGUAUUCUAAAUAUGAAGAAGGGUUUAGAAAAACAUAGUGUGGAUAAGUACUAACCCAAACAAUUCCAUUCAAAUUGGUGAAAUGACCACCUUUUUACAGAGGCAAAUGCAGACUCAAGACAUAUAGAUGAUGCAAGAAGGAUUUUAGAGGAGAUCAACUUCAACGAUCUGGUGUCAUGAGUGAAUGAUUGUGGGCAUUGCCAAGUCUCUCAUAUAAUUCCCCUCAAUGGAAAGAAGAUAUUGUCAAAGAGCGAACUAAAUCCAAGGAACUCAAAGUGGCUUCAUAAGUUGUGGCGCUCAGCAUUUUCCUUAAGGCAUCGGCAUAAAUUGUCACAGAGGGUGGUGGGAUAUGCACAUGGUGAUGACUCUCCAAGAUGAGAGCUGAAAAAGACUGAUCAUCUCAUCUCCAGGGAAUAUCCCAAUAUAUCCUCACUUGGCACCUAUACACACUAGGGGAGCUCGUCCUCGAGCUCUGAAGGCAGUCUUGGGGUGUUUACAGCUCAAAUCAUCUCUAUCUGCAACAAUGUUGUGAAAGAAGGGCUUUGGUAGUGGCUCAAAGCUAGUUUCCUGGUCAUAAGGUAAUUUGGUUCGAGACACGAAGAAGCUGCUCCAGCUCACUCUUCUCCUUGGCUUUUUGUGGGAGCAGUAUGCUACUCCAUCUACUAAUAAGAAGAGGUACUUCAUUGCUGCAGAAUGUUGGAAAUGUUUUGAUGUGAAAAAACGCAUGGAUCCUUUUGUUGGCUGCUCAAGCUCUGUUUGAGACUUUCCAGGACAGGAGGCACACAUAUCCGCAUGGUGAAGAAAAAUUGAUGUCAAAACGUUUGAAGCUAGAAAGAAAAGGAAAAUGUAAGAACCGAAUGAUUAAAAAACCUCUAUAUGUAUGUUGCUGCUCUAGAUACUCCUUAAAUGUAGUUGUGUUGAAGAUGAACCUCGUUGAAGGAAAGGCAAGAUGUGGCCAUUGCUUGAACGUAAAAAGAAUUUGCGUUAGUGAUGCUUUUCACUUGAAUUGGUCUGCUCCAAGCUGGUGUUAGCUUUGGUUGGUGAGAGUUUCUGACAUCAUAAAGCCAGACAAGACCCUAGCUGAGCCAUGUGCCUUCCCAAGUGACGGCAAGUCUCCACAUCAGCAAACAAGCCGAGUCAUCCAUCCGCCAAGUUCACACCCAUACCAUUAUGUACAUAACUAUAGCAAAGCAAUGAAGUUGAGAGAGCACUCCAUAUACAAAAAUCCAGACAUAUGGUAUCAAGUUUGUUUUGAUCCUGAUGGUGAAACACUGGUAAACAUAGCAAUGCAAUGAGAAAGAACGUGCUAGGGCUCUUGCAAUCCUUGCUAGGGUGGAGCAGUAAAUCCAAGAAUGCAAGUGAGCACAAUGUGAACCCAAUCCUUGCCUUUGCCCUCAUUAUCACUCUGUGUGUAAGCAUCCCUUCUAGAGAUUCCCACCACCUCCUCUUCCUCACUUUCCUUAGCCGUUUUCUCUAGAAACUAAUGGCUUGGCUUCUAGUACUCCACUUUCUCAAACCACCCCAGCGGUCACUUUGGCUGGCAGCUUGGAUGCAGGAUGGGAGAAGCUGCUCUAGAAGUUCAGAAGUGAAAACUUCACAAUAUUGAAGACUCAAGUCUAGUUAAUUUUGAUGGCUAAAGAUUGCUGGGACUUGGUCGAGGGAAUUGAAGUGAGACCUCUUGACACUUGACCUUGACUUUAAGAACUUGAAAGCAAAUUUGUUCUCGCCCAAAAGUGUUUCUUUUUACACAUGCAACCUAAUGAGACAAUGGCAACAUACAUCAAGAAGCUCAAGGGCAUUAUGCAACAGUUCAAGCAAGUGGGUAAAGCAAUCUCAAAUGACUAUGCAAAAGCUUUCUUGCUUCACUUUGUCUCCCUAGAGUUGUAACAAUCAUCCUUCAUGCUCUCAUUUAUCUUAGCUCUACUCUAAUCUUCUAGAGGAAGAGCACAAGAUUGCUGAGUGUAAAGUUGGCAAUUUAGGAUUUCCUUAGAUUGUGCAUGAGUAAGCAUUAUUUCUUGCCAAGUAAUUGUCAAAUGGGGAGUCUGGGUGAUGUUAUAGAAGAGCUACGAGGCCCACAGAAAGUGCCUCAUUUCUUCUUGUUAGCAACUUUGGUUGCAAGAGAAUCCCAAUUUUCCUUGGUUAAUUUUUCCAGAUCAAAAAGAUGCUGAGAGUAUCCUAGGUUCAUUUGGCUUUUUUUGGCUGUUCUUUUUUGCUGGAUACGUUGAUUGUAUCUCCUUCUGCAUCUUGAGACUCUCUACAUACAUCCUCUUCCUACUAUUUUAUACACAUACCUUCAUUAUUUAAGAUCUUCUAGCUUCAGGGACAAAGUGAAUAUGAUAAACCUCCUUGAGAGGUCCAUUUGGAAGCUUGAUCACCACCAUGCCACAGCCUUCCACCUGCAGUGUUUAUUUGUUGUUGUGGAGCCUUAGGUGUGAAACACAAAUUUCAAGAGAGUCAUAUGAAAUUAAGCACCACUAUCCAACCAUAACACCUCUAGAGUAGGCACCAAUGACAAGUAUUAUCAACAACAAGUUGUUUUGAGUAAGUAUAUGCUGAGUGGCAGCCUUUUAUGCACGGCAUUCAUACUCCACAUGUCCCAUCGUUUAUAAUAAUUGCAAAGACCCUUUUUCUUCUUAGAGAAAUUAUUUUUAGAGGAAGUCAAUAAGUGAUGAGGAUUGAAGAAGAAUAAGUCCAAGGAGAAGUAGAAGUUGACACAAGGAGAAGUAAAAGUUGGCACAAGGGAAAAUUGGCUUUAUAUCUAUCAGUUGGAGUAGAAUCUAUGAGUUGAGUAACAUAUUAAUGUCUAGAAAAUGUUAAAAGUAAAUGCAAAGAGUAGAGAUUCAUUAGGAUAUUCCUUUGCAAUUUGGGCAUACAAGUCUUUAUUAUGGAGAUUUCAUUGGAAGCAUGGGACCUCACCUCUUUCUUAUAGUCAUUAAAAGUGUUCAAAAGUGUCCUUGGAGUGUUCCUUAAGAGAGAAAUGUGAUCUUGAGUGUUUGAGCAUAUGAGAGCUCAGAUUGUAAUGAGGAUUGGAGAGAUCUCAACAUGGUUGGCUGUGGAAACACAACAUACUUGUGCCACACGAUGCCUCACGGUCAUGUUCCUAGAUAGGAUUUCUAGUGGAAUUGGGAGAAGGCUGGCUGCAAGCCCAAUUUGUUCUUUCUGGCUUAAGAGUAGCACUUAGCUAUUACAGUUUAAGGUCAUGCACACUACAUGAUAGAUCUGGCACUAGUUUUGUGCUAGCUAAUGCAAGGGAGGGGGAUGACAAGGCACUGGCUAGGCAUCGUGGUAAUGGUAGCAGUGCACAGCUUGCAAAAGGGAUGCUGCUGUGAAAUCUUUUUGUGACUUGAAUUCUGAUAUUUCAGCCUAUAGAUCCAGGGCUUAUGGCAGUUUUCUUCUCCACUUGAGCUUUUCGCCAUUUCUUUUACUUUCCUGCAAUUUGUUGCAGUGAGUUUCAUACCUUCCUAUUAGACAACAAGUCUCAUACACAGUCACAAGAGAGCUUGACUGUUCUUUCUCUUUCUUGUUACUAUUCAGAAUUUGAGCUGUGACAAUUUUGUAAAAGUGUCCAUGCUUAUGCAUACAGAAAUCUAGCUCUCAUAUUUCAAAGAAUCAGCCUAGCUUUGCAAACCCCAAGUAGUGACAAUAGAGUUUACUAGACAAUAUAGAUCUGUUUAUAAAUUUUUGUGUACUCACAAGUGGAAUAAGUGGUACACAUUUGCAUGGAAGUAAUAUCCAAGAAAUAAACUUAGGAGAGAUGUUGAGCUUGUAAAGCUUGAGAAUCAUUGUCUCCUUAGCAGUAAUUUUUUUAUAAACACAAAAUUACUAAAUAAACAUUAAAAGUAUAUAGUUUAUUAUUAUCAGAAAUUAGACUUCAGUUUUGAGACUUUAGUUUGAGACGUAGUUAGGAUGCCCAGAGUCUCUGCAAUUUCCAGAAUAGUUGAGGGUAGCCUGGCACUUACAAAAUACAUGACUCCCACAUUUUUCACUAGGCUGAUUAUUAUAAACGUGUAGGAAUUGUUGCUUGAGAGUUACACCACUCACGGAAGGAUAGGCUCCACUACAAGUAAAGAUGGCACCAGAAACGAGAGAAGUAUAAAUAGUUCCAUCGGUGUAACUUGAUAUUGCAGUUCGGCAAUCAACACGAGAACCACAAUAAAAAGAGCCAUCACAAUUAUCACUAGCACAACUUGAGAAGCCAACGAAAACCACAAGAAGAAAUGCAACAAGUGAGAACAGCUUGACAGACUUUCUUAUAAAAAGAUUAGUGUGAUGAGAGAAUGGAAUUCAGAACACAUCAUCCUCGCGGACCGAGAACCUCUGCAGGUUCCAGUUGAAGUUGUAUGCUACCAAAUCCUCCAGGGUUAUCAACAUAUGGGAAGAGUGUGAUCCAACGGGUGAGAUUGGCCAUCAAACGUGGAAUCUUUCAGGCACCAAGCGUUUACUUGAGCAGCCGCAAAACAUCGCCAACCAAAUACAAAGAACCAGUGACCAAAACCUGAGAGAGAAACAACCGCUUACACCAUAAAGAGUUUUAACCAAGUACCUGGAGAUGAAGAUUUGGAUGGCGAGCGGAGCAAAAGCGCAGCCAAUCAAUGGCUGCUGGUAGCGAUGGCAUCACUGCACUGGAAACUCCAAAAUGGCAUGAGCUAUAGCCGUUUUCCAGGCCGGAAAGAAACUCUCGACGAUAGUCUCCGGCUUUCGAAUCUGCAAGAUAACUCGCAAGCACUUCCAGUUGGAAAACUAGCUCGAUAUUUUACCUUUCUCCUUGAAGGACUCCCAGUGCUGCUGUAACACCUUUUGCCACGAGAGAUCUGGAUCAACGGGAGAAUCGUGAGUGUUGUCAAUUGACGUGUAGCUCGAGUACGGGGGUACGAAUAUCGCCAGCUCGAGUGAAAUAUCUACAAACAAGAAACAUGAACUUUCAGCCAGAGAGCUUUGCUUCAUCAAGUCGAAAAACCUUGUUGUUUGCAGAUAUCUAGCAAGGGUGGGAAUAGAAGGUUGGGAUCGCGCUUGGGCAUGCAAUUGAAGAGUAAGAUCUACACAGACAAAUAACACUGAUAUCGUUAGCCAACUCAACAAAAUUCACCUGUCUAGAGUUCGAAGUUGGUGUGUUAAACUGCUUAAUAUCGAAUGCCGAUAUUUCUUCAUUCUCUUUGUGGAUGUUGUCGGCUCUAGCAGCGGAAGAAAACCACUUAGCACAGGCUUCCAUACUUUCUGGGCUAUGAGCCCCGUCCAGGUAGAAGCUUAGCUUCUUCUCACGGACAAUCUCUGCUCUUCCUGCCCACCGCACUUCAACGAGCCCCUUAAUGUAUGAAUCAGGUAAACGACCUUGCUCAAGAGCCUUCGCAACGAGAAAAGGAGGCUGGACUCUCAAGUAGAAGAGAACAAUUAAACGCUUACCUCGUUCAGGAUUGCUUUAUGCUCUUGGUGAUCGGUUCUCUCCGCCCAGCCUCUGCAAAGCGCCACGGCAAGUGCAGCGUUGGUCCGUUGAUGCUCUCCUUGCAGUCCAAGCUUUAAGUCUCCCAGAUUAUAAGUUUCCAGAGGAGCAGCAGUUUCUAAAGGUAUCUGCUCACAACGAAUGCGUCAGUUCGGCCUAGAUUUACACAAAAACAAUGCCUACAUUUAGCUCCAAAGCACGCUUCUUCAGAGCCUCCAAUGCUUCAGCUGGCUGUGGCACUGUAACAGCUGGUACGCCUGCCUUCAACCGGUGCCAAGACGUCAGAAGAAUAGAUAAAUCUAGAUACCAGUACCUUGAAAAUCCCAGCCUUCUCCGUUGCAAUUUCCGCGAGUGUGUUUCCUACAAACGAGCACGUCAGCAAGCGAACACGAUGAUUUUAAAAAAAGGAAACCAAGAAUCUCCAUAUGGUCGUAGCCGAGUGAUGCUACUCCACAGAUGGCUGGAUUUCGAACCUGAGAAACAAAAGGACAAGUCAACUUCAUCGGCAGCUUAGCUGCUUACCACAUUGGUUGCAUCACAGCGACCUCCUAAACCGACUUCCAAGAUAGCAACGUCAACCUGUUGGUCACGAGUUAAGCCGUAAAGCAAUAUUAAAAAACAUAGUCUAGUUUUCUCACAUCCUCCGACGUAAACAUCUUGAAUGCCAAAAUUGUGAGGAACCGAAAGAGACGUGGCAUAGGGAGCCCCUGCUCGGCCUCAUUUGCCUGCAUUUGCCUAUGAAUUACAAAGAAAAAAGAACAAACCAGGUUAACCCACCUGGAGAUGAUCCCAACACCACCAAAAAUACUGGUUAAAAGUCUCCUCGGAGACCUCCUCCCUGGUUUAAACGAGCACUGUAAACUUGAUAAUGCCACCACAACACUUACCCGUUCAAUCUAAAUCGUUCUCUAAUGUCUAGCAAAUGAGGCGAGGUGAAAAGAGCAGUCCGGAAACCAGAAGCUCGCAAAAUUCUCUCCACAAAUGCACAAGUAGAACCCUGUCACAGACUAAGGCUCGUCAAAAAAGAAAGAAACUGGUUUUAAGUACCUUUCCCUUGGUUCCAGCCACAUGAAUUACGCUUAAUUUCGAUACUGGCUCCUCCAACCCGAGCAGCUGAAGGAGGAAAAAAAAAAAAGCUCGAGAAGAAACCAAAAACCGAAGAAAAAAUGGUACCUUUAGAUGGUCAGCAACGAGCUGGAAAUGGUUCUCCCAUCGGCUGCUAUCGUGGGUGCUUGGCGAACGAUCCAAAUCCACCACUGCUCCCCCUCCUCCACGCUUCUUGGUGAUUAGACCAUUGAGAAUUUCGAUAGCGUCCCGGAAGCUACGACGAUGCGCCAUCGCCAAGGACUGCGCACAACCCUACAGCAGGAGAGCACGACGACAAGCGAGUACUUUGACGCGCCAGGCUAGAUAGCACUCGCUUUCACUCCACUCACCUGGGCGCCGGAUCUGCGAUCGUGUCCGCUCAUCGCCGGGAGGAUUCUCGAGUGGAAUGAUUGAGCGAAGCGCAUUUGAAAUCACCGCCCUCUCCUAGGGUUGCCGGCAGCAUUAGCCGAUCGAGCUCCCGGGACCUGCAUUCCACGGGAAUCAAUCGCUGGCGCUCGAUCCGGCGCAUCCAGCUCGCCGCGCCGCGCCGCGCGGAUUCCCAGUGGCGCUCCUCGACGAGCAUCAUCGAAAAACCCUGGAAAUAUUUACCAAGAUAUCGUCUACGUCUUUAGAGCGCGAAGGAUAAAACAAAGGUAAAUUUCUUAAAGAGCAAAUAGACAAAAGAUAUCAAACUCUGCCAAACAACCUUGGCAUUAUUUACUUCGACACACAGUAAAAAAACGAAAUCCAGUCACACAAACAAAGAACAAAGCACACACCAUAUAAUCUCUUUUUACCAUGUGGAGUAAUGGUAAAUUUCUUCCUCAGUUCUUGGAGCAGCCAGUACCAGUCCAGCUCCGCCCCAAUGGGCACCGGUUGCAACUGUUGUUGUACCAGUACCAACCGGACUGGCACUGGUUGCACUUGCCAUUGUACCAGUACCACCCGGACAGGCACUGGUUGCACUUGCCAUUGUACCAGUACCACCCGGACAGGCACUGGUUACACUUGCUAUUGUACCAGUACCACCCAGUCGGGCAUUGGAUGCACCUGCCACCGGACCAGUGCCAACCGGACCGACAGCUUUGUGCCUGGGCCUUUGCGAUGCCAUUGCCAAUGUCCACGCCGAUUAAGAGGAGCAUGACUACCACUCCAAUGAAGGCCACGCGAGAAGAGUAGCUCGCCACCAUUGCCAUUAGCGAAGAAUUCUUCUUGAUUGAGUUGAGUGAGAUGAGAAAGAUUUUGGAGAGAAGUUUGCUGUGAGAAGCUUUGAUUUCUGGGAUGGAUGAUGCCAAUGAAGGCCGAGGAGGCAUUUAUAGUGCCGAGAAGUAUGAAGAGAUUACAUGUAGAGUCAAUUAUAAUAGACUUGUGGCCAUGGUGUAUACAUGGUAUAUACAGGGGGUUUUUUGUACAGACUCUUGUUACUGUUUGAGCGGCUCUUGACUUGGACCAAUGGAAAGAAGAAAUAUUGAUAAGAAUAUGGCUAGCCGUGUUCUUCUGUUCUCUCUGUGGAUGAAUCAUGUAAUUUUUAGUAAUUUUGUGUUUGUUCCAACACAACUUGGCCUGAUCUCUGGUACAACAUGCGUUCGUGUCCACUAUAGUAUACAUUACUUUUAGACUCUCUCGAAAUUAUUGCUUCUUCUUGGCUUGAUCGGGUUGGGUUUUGGAGCUUGCAGACCAGGCAAUUCCUAUCUUAUCCGAACACCAGCGCCGGCCAAACACCGCCAAAAAACUAAAAGACUGGUAUAGAUCUACGACAACAAUUGAUGCUGUAAAUUGAUUUUUGUGUUUACGGCAUCAGUUGUUCUUGCUGUUCCGUUUGCUACGUAACAACACCAACAUGAAAUAAGGAGCGAAAGAACUGCCAUCCAGGAAAAGCUCAGUGCCUGGAGACAAGAAUCUAAGUAAACUCUCGAGAUGAAUUAAAUAGUUUAAUAACAACAUUUUUACAUCGCAUCAAAUCUUUUUAUUCUUGGUGUGUUUGGGCUUAAAGACCUCAGUUUCUCCAGCAGCGGCCUUUGCGCCAGCUCCAGCCGCUCUGGCAUCGGUGGCAGCUUCCGCCAUACCAAUACCAGUUUUUCGGGCAGGGGUGACAACGAUUGUCAUACCAGUACCACCCUAUCGGACAGCGCUGCGCAGCAACCUUUGCGAUUCCUCCCAUGUCCACUCCCAUGGCCAGCAUUAUCACAAACAUGGAAACAAGCCCAAGGCAAACCAGCUGAGUCUUGCUCAUCGCCAUUGCUAUAUACUUUGACUGACGAAAAGAACAAGAAACCAAAUCAGAACUAUUAAAGAGCUUCUUCUGAUCUUUGAGCACUGAAUCAGGAUGAUGGCUAGGAGAGAGAUUGUGGAACCCUCUCUUGAGAGGGGUAUCUAUAUACUCGCCCUUGCAACGACCGAGCAAGUUUCUGCGUGCAUUGUUUGCGGAUAACUUUGUGUCCCAUCGGUUGACGCGCGCCGUUCGCUAGACUUGGUCUUGGGAAGGAUCAGAUUCGUUGACAAAUUGAUUUUCUAAGUACGUAGUACUCUCAAUAAUACGGAAAAAUAAACUUUUCGUCCUUCCACAACGACUUGACGAAGUCUGUCGUAGCAGUAAGCUCCAAAACGAGCGCUGUUGAUAUAAUGUUAGUCAAUUUGCUGCACCUUUUUGGUGCAACAACAAAUCAGGGUCUUGCUCAUCGCCCCUGCUGCUUCUGCUGCAAAGUACGAGUUAGAUCGGGAAAUGCUUGCUCGGUUGCGAGUAUAUAGACACCCUCUCAAGAGGUUCCUGAACUCUUAUUGUCGAUUUAUUAUGUGAUAUUAAUGGAAAUUUCAACUAAUAAUGUUGGAGUGUUUUCUACCAUGUGGUCGAUCAAUUUGCAGGAGCUGGGUCGCAGCAGAUAGAAAGCAUGCCUUCCACUUGGAUCAUGCAAAGUCUCUCGUGAUACCAGGCAUGAGUCAUCCUGCUACCUGUGUGAUUAUUUGUGGCACCCACUCGAAACGAAAGAGGUCCCCUGAUGUUGCUCGAUAAUGCGGUGGCCGGCUUCAUCAUGCAAGCUCUGCUCGGUAAAGCAAAUCAGGUGGGCUUUAUCUCAUGGUUCCAUUCCCAACACGAAGAUAUCCAAAAAGCUUAAUCUUUAUGUUUGUAAACCAAGAAAGUUUGCGGAGUAAUUCCACCCGAGCUCACAACUCUCGAGAUGAAGCAAAGUUUUAUAUGUAUAUUAUUAUUGCUGCACGAUACAAAGUGUCUUUUAUUCUUGUUUCCAGACCCUGACAGUAUGAAAUCAUAGAAAUUACGAGUUGAUUUGAGAAUUGCAGUUACCCCUUAAAACCUGAGGUUUCAGUUUCUCCAGCAGCGAUUGUUGGUCCAACCCUUUCGGCAGCGGUGGCAAUCAUUGUCAUACCAAUACCACCCUCUCGGGCAUCGCUGGGCAGCAGCGUUUGCGAUUCCUCCCAUGUCCACUCCCAUUACCAGGAGCAACACAAACAUAGCCCAAGGCAAGCCAGACGAAUCUUAAUGACCAAGAACAUCUUAACAUUGACGUACACUAAAAUAGAAAGAGCGCCAAAUAUUCUUCAGAAAUCUGGAAUCAAUCUAUGCAUGGAUGUAGAGCUUCCAGCUUUUGGUAACAUCAUAAAUGUAAACACAACUGAUCCAAAGCAAUAUAAAUAACUAAGUGUUUUUGUUUUGUCAAUGAAAAGCUGUUUAUUUUGUCCCGAGACUUUGCCAUCCUAGUCUCGACGUGGAACUUAAAAGAAGAUGCAAAAGCUCUGGCAUGUGACACGGUAGUCAGGAGGCAAAUUUGUCAACGAAUCUGAUCUCUUUUACAGACUAAGUCUAGCAGUUUUACCACAUACGGCAACACUUAUACACGCGGAAAUUUGCUCAGUCGUUGCAAGGAACGUAUAUAAAACGCCCCUCUCAAUCGAGACGAAAUCAUCACUUACACUUCUCUUCUCAGGAACAGGUUAAUUAUGUGCUUGCAACUCUUUAGGAUAUGAAUUUGAUUGUGUUUCUUGUUCUUUCCACUUUGCAGGUCUAUAGAAUGGCAGUUGGAAAGUUUGUUGGCUGAAUAUAUAUAUAUAUAUAUAUAUAUAUAUAUGUUAAAAAUCCAUGCAUUUUGCGAACGUUACACUGCGACAACCAUUUUCCAGAAAACACACCAUAUUUAUCAUUGAUAAUCUCAGAGCCUGAACAUCGGAAUAGAUUUCACACAAGAUUCUAUAGGACUCCAAAACAUUCCCGUUUCCAAGCCACAGUUUUAUUCUACGUAGUUCUUCACCCAUUCGACAUUCGCUCCCAUGGUUCCAGGCCCCAGAGAUCACUCACAAACUUUCAUUAAUUGACGCAGCGGCUGCCAUUCCAGCGCCACCCACGCUGGCAUCGAUGGCAGCUGUUGUCAUACCAGUACCAAUUGCAUUGCACGCAGCGAGAUCCAUUCCAGUACCAUCCCCUGCGGCAGCGCUGCGCCACCGCCUUGGUGAUCCCCCCGACCUCCACUCCCACCGCCAGGAGCAUCACAAACAUCACAACCAGGCCCAGGCACACCAAUCGAGUCUUGCUGCUUGCCAUAGCAAUCGGUCAAUCAAUCGAUCAAUCGAUUGGAAUUGGAGAAGAGAGAAGGAGCAAACCAAAGCGAAAGAACAAAGGAGCUCUAGAGAGUGUGUGGGGGAUUGUAAGAGAUGUGCUGUUUAUAUAGCGUCGAGAGUGUGUGGAUAGAUACAAAGACCGCGCAGUUCCAGGCCAAAGUCUUUCAUUACAAUUCGCGCCCACCAUUUGAAAAGACUCAAUUAAGGUUUGCAUUUGUUAAAAUCGGUCACCACUUGGCAUAAUCCGCAACGUUGAGUUUGGACGGUCAGGAUUGCAGAUCAUUUUCUCUGUUCUUUAGACGGGAAUGGGGUCUUCUCAAGUUCGGGGUCGCGGCAUUUGGAUUUCUAGGGCUCUUGCUGGGGAGUGAGGGAGCGGCGCGAUUCUCCCCUUACAUUUUAUGCGUGGAAGGAAUGUGGUGCUUGUCUCACUCUCAUAGGUAUUUCUCUCUUAGUUUUUGUUUCCUUCUUCUUAGACAACAAUGUAUUUGUUUGUAAGGGGUCCUUUGCUGCUCAUGGAGCUCGCUGUGCUUCUCAUAAACGCUAGCGCACGAAAGUCUUAAAUUACUUUGUUACUGCAGGUUUCCAGAGACCUCUUUCUCAAUGCAUUCGCACAGGCCUUGAAAAUUCUGGUGUCUAGUGCUGGAAUUUACGCUGUUACAGUCGGAAGCGACUGUGGAGCUGCGAGAGCUUGUCGAGAAGAACAAUGUUGCCACCAAUGUGUUUUUUUCUUUACAGACUUUUACACUGUUUGACUUGGACCAACGAAAUAUGACCAUUGGCUAGCUAUGUAAUUCUGUUCACUUUUUCGAUGAAUCAUAUAGUUUUUAGUAAUAUCUUUGUUCCAACUUGGCCUGAUCUCUCGUACAACAUGCGUUCGUGUCCACUAUUCUAGUACAUUCUUGUGGAUUUUAAAGGACAAAACCACAUACACCAGACUCUCUUGGCUUGAUCGGUUUUUGGAGCUUGCAGACCAGGCAAUUCUUAUCUUAUCCAAACACCAGAGCCGGCCAAAUACCACAAAAAACUUAAAGAUCAGUAACAUAAUUCUUGCUGUUUUGUUUGCUACAUAACAACCAAAGAACUGCCACGCAAGAAAAGCUCCAUGCUUGGAGACAAGAAUCUACUCCAGAUGAAAUUAAACAGAUCACAUUUAUCCUAAUUAGGAUUUAGGAGGAUCUUACAUCAUUCAAACAAAACCUUCCGAUUUAUGGUGUUGAUAGAUUUUUGGGCUUAUCCAUGACUCCGGAUAUCUAAGGUUUUCCAGCAGCGGCCAUUGCGCCAGCUCCAGCCGCUCUGGAAUACCAGCAUUUCGGGCAGCGAUGACAACCAUUGUAAUACCAGUACCACCCUCUCUGGCAGCGCUGGGCAGCUUUGCGAUUCCUCCCCCCGUCCACUCCCAUAUCAUCACAAACAUGGCAACAAGCCCAAGGCAAACCAGCUGAGUCUUGCUCAUCGCUGGACUGCUAUUGCGAGUGAAAAGAACAAGAAACCAAAUAAGCACUAUUAGAGAGCUUCAAAGAUCUUCUGAGCACUGAGUCUGUUAGAAGAGAAAUUGUGGAAAUCUCUCCUGAGAGGGGUAUCUAUAUACUCACCCUUGCGACGAAGAAAGUUUCCGCGUGCAUUGUUUGUGGAUAACUUUGUGGCUCAUCCGUUGGUCUUGGGAAGGAUCAGAUUUGUUGACAAUUUGGUUUUCUAAUACGCUUUUCGUCCUUCUAUAAUAUAAUGUUAAUUUCAUUAUUAAUGCUAUUUUAAUGUCAUAUCAUGCUAAACCACCAUUCACUGCUUCUGGUGCAAAGUACGAGCUAGAUUUAUCGGGCAAUAGUUGCUCGGUUGCGAGUAUAUAGACACCCUCAGCUCUUAUUGUCGAUUUAAUAUAUGAUAUUAAUGAAAAUUUGGCUGGAGUGUUUGGAAUCACUUCUACCACGUGGUCGAUCAAUUUGCAAUCAGCCAGUAGCAUCGAUUGUCUCACCUCGAGGCAUGAGUCGCGCCCCUGCCGGAAAAACAGAGAUCUCCGGGAUCAUGGAUAAGCACAAAAAUUUAUAACUCAAGAAUCAACACCAUAACUCGUAAGGUUUUUCAUGUUCACCAGGAUCUUCUGAAUAUCUAUGCUGUUUUAGAUCUUGUGUAUUAGAAUAAUAAAAAAAUUCAUCCGAUGUAAAAAUGUUGUUUGUGUGGUCAGGUCAUUCAGCUUUUCUUGGGUGACGGUUGCUUCUCUCCUUUUGUCAUGUUGGUGUUGUUAUGUAGCAAACUGAAUAGCAAGAAUAAUUGAUGCCGUAAACACAAAUACCAGUUUACGGCAUCAAUAUUUCUAGUAGAUCUAUACCAUUUUAUUGUUUGGCGGUUUUUGGCCGGCGCCUGAUCUGCAAGCUCCAAAACCCAACCCGAUCAAGCCAAGAAAAAGCAAUAAUUUCAAGAGUAUGUGGCUUUGUCCUAACUAAAUAAUGUACUAGAAGCUCAUAAUAUAGUGGAUACGAACGCAUGUUGUACCAGAGAGCAGGUCAAGUUGUGUUGGAACAAACAUAAAACUACUAAAAAUUAUAUGAUUCAUUGAAAGAGUGAACAGAAGAAUCAUAUUCUUAUCAAUAUUUCUUCUUUCCCUUGGUCCAAGUCAAGUAUUAUAGGUCAAGCCGCGGAGGUAAUGGAGAAGUUGGUUUGCCACGAGAGACUUUUAAUUCAAAGAGUGUUGGAAACACAAGGUAUGCUCUCGAUCUGCGUCCCAGUGAUCGAUUAGAUCCAAUCUUUUGUUAAAGUAAAUAUAAUAUACUACCAUAUUAUUAACAGACUUCGUCAAAUCGAGAAGGAUCGUCGUACUUAGGAAACCAAGUUGUCAACGAAUUUGAUCCUUCCCAAGACCAAGUCUCCAAGUAAAAUCGGCGCGUCAACCGCUGCCAAAAAACCACGAGGAAACUUGCUCGGUUGUUAUAGAGAGACUCCCUCUUCUAUCCAGAGGAUCCGCAGAGACUCCUUGUUCUUUUUACUUGCAGUAGCAGUGUGUUCAGAGGUAGGAUCUGGUCCAGCUACAAUUCGGACUUAUCUAAGUCUCGACGUGUACACAGUAGCACCCAGGAGGUAGUACCCAGGAGGCAGAUUUGAAUCUGAUCUCUUUUCCAGACUAAGUCUAGCUAACACGAUUGCUCGGUCGUUGCAGGGGGCGUAUAUAUAACGCGCCUCACUCUAUCAAGACGAAAUCACCACACUUACACUUCUCUUAUAAUCCACAGGUUUUACUCUUAGAGUGGCAGCAAUGGCGAUGGACAAAAUUCGUCUGGCUUGCCUUGGGCUUGUUGCCAUGUUUGUGUUGCUCGUGAUUAUGGGAGUGGACGUGGGAGGAAUCGCAAACGCUGCUGCCCAGCGCUGCAAGUCGGGGUGGUAUUGGUAUGACAAUGGUUGCCACCGUUGCCCGAGGGGGCGCAAAAAUCGCUGCUGAAGCCUCUGCUUUUAAGGGGUAAGCGCAAUUCUCAAUUCAACUCGUAAUCUCUAUGAGUGCAUUGCCAGGGUCUGGAAACAAGAAUAAAAAGACACCGGACUGGUAACAUGUUUGUGUGGAACAAAUAAAAUAUAUUUUUGUUUUUUUCUUUCUCUUUUUGUUUUUUUGUUUUUUCUUUUUUUGCUUCAUCUCGAGAGUUUUGAGCUCCCGUGGCAAUACUUCCUCAUCGUCUAGCAACCUUUCUUCUUGGUUUACAAACUAGAAAAUUAAGCUUUUUGGAUCAAUGGCUAUCUUCGUGUUGGGAAUGGAACCCAUGUUGUGAGACAACCACAUGAUUUGCAGGUGGAAGUAACUCGCAUGAUGAAGCCGGCUACGAACGCAUUAUCGAGCAACAUUAGGUUCGAGAUAGUCGGAGGACCUCUUUUGUUCCGUUUGGAUUCGGUGCCACAGAUAAUCACGCAAGUAGCAGGAUCUCUGGCAUCAGUGGCAACUUCCGCCAUACCAAUACCAGCUUUUCGGGCACCGGUAACAACCAUUGUCAUACCAGUACCACUGGCAGCGCUUGGCAGCAACCUUUGCGAUUCCUCGCAUGUCCAUUCCCAUGGCCACAAACAUGGCAAGGCGAACAAGGCAAACCAGGCAAACCAGUUGAGUCUUGCUUUGCUCUAUACUCGAAAAGAACAAGAAUCCAAGAUCUUCUGAAAGGAAACUUGUAUUGAUUUGAUUAUGGUUUUUUGUUCUUUUCUCUUGCAGAGUGGCAGCAAUGGCGAUGGACCAAUGGCUGCCACCGUUGCCAGACAAACUGGGAUUAGAAUAGUUUGAGCUGCGAAAUAUAUUUUCUCUAUUAAUCUCUAAAGAUUAAGCUUGGCUCACGAUCAAUAUAACACUACCAACAUUAUAAUAUAGACAUGUAUCCAGAGCUAGCUAACCAGUGUAGCUACGACAGACUUUGUCAAGUCGAUGUGGAAGGACAAAUAGCUUUACUUCCGUAUUAUCGAGAGUACUACGUACUUAGAAAACCAAAUUGCCAGCGGAUCUGAUCCUUCCAAGACCAAGUCUAGCAAACGGCAAAGUUAUCCGCGAACAAUGCUAGCAGAAACUUGUUAACAUAGAUUGGCUUUUUCACACCCCAAAAGCUCAUUAAAGGGCAGUAAUAUAGGUAUAAAUACACUUUUAAUUGUGGCUGACAACUUUCCAGAAAACAGACCAUAUUUAUCAUUGAUAGUCUCAGAGCAGAUUUCACACAAGAUUCUAUAGGACUCCAAAACAUUCUCGUUUCGAAGCCACAGUUUUAUUCUAUGUACUUCUUCACCCAUUCGACAUUCGCUGGCAGGCCCCAGAGAUCACUCACAAACUUUCAUUAAUUGACGCAACGGCUGCCAUUCCAGCGCCACCCACGCUGGCAUCGAUGGCAGCUGUUGUCAUACCAGUACCAAUUGCAUUGCACGCAGCGAGAUCCAUUCCAGUACCAUCCCCUGCGGCAGCGCUGCGCCACCGCCUUGGUGAUCCCCCCGACCUCCACUCCCACCGCCAGGAGCAUCACAAACAUCACAACCAGGCCCAGGCACACCAAUCGAGUCUUGCUGCUUGCCAUAGCAAUCGGUCAAUCGAUCGAUCGAUCGAUUGGAAUUGGAUAAGAAAGAAGGAGCAAACCAAAGCGAAAGAACAAAGGAGCUCUAGAGAGUGUGUGGGGGAUUGUAAGAGAUGUGCUGUUUAUAUAGCGUCGAGAGUGUGU
rnacentral:lncRNA from 1 species